CCUACGGGGUGCAGCAGUGAGGAAUAUUGGUCAAUGGACGGAAGUCUGAACCAGCCAUGCCGCGUGCAGGAAGACGGCUCUAUGAGUUGUAAACUGCUUUUGUACAAGGGUAAACCCGAAUACGUGUAUUCAGCUGAAAGUACUGUACGAAUAAGGAUCGGCUAACUCCGUGCCAGCAGCCGCGGUAAUACGGAGGAUCCAAGCGUUAUCCGGAUUUAUUGGGUUUAAAGGGUGCGUAGGCGGAUUGAUAAGUUAGAGGGGAAAUGUCCGAGCUUAACUCGGGAACUGCCUCGAAAACUGUUGAUCUAGAGAGUAGAUGCGGUAGGCGGAAUGUAUGGUGUAGCGGUGAAAUGCUUAGAGAUCAUACAGAACACCGAUUGCGAAGGCAGCUUACCAAUCUAUAUCUGACGUUGAGGCACGAAAGCGUGGGGAGCAAACAGGAUUAGAUACCCGGGUAGUC
rnacentral:rRNA from 1 species